AUUGAACGCUGGCGGCAGGCCUAACACAUGCAAGUCGAGCGGAUGAAGGGAGCUUGCUCCUGGAUUCAGCGGCGGACGGGUGAGUAAUGCCUAGGAAUCUGCCUGGUAGUGGGGGAUAACGUCCGGAAACGGGCGCUAAUACCGCAUACGUCCUGAGGGCGAACGUGGGGGAUCUUCGGACCUCACGCUCUCAGAUGAGCCUAGGUCGGAUUAGCUAGUUGGUGGGGUAAAGGCCUACCAAGGCGACGAUCCGUACCUGGUCUGAGAGGAUGAUCAGUCACACUGGAACUGAGACACGGUCCAGACUCCUACGGGAGGCAGCAGUGGGGAAUAUUGGACAAUGGGCGAAAGCCUGAUCCAGCCAUGCCGCGUGUGUGAAGAAGGUCUUCGGAUUGUAAAGCACUUUAAGUUGGGAGGAAGGGCAGUAAGUUAAUACCUUGCUGUUUUGACGUUACCAACAGGAUAAGCACCGGCUAACUUCGUG
rnacentral:rRNA from 1 species